AUAUUGUUAGUAUAAAUAUUAUACUUCUUUUCCAAAGAAGAGAUCUAAAUAAAUUAGGCAAUAUA
rnacentral:tRNA from 1 species